rnacentral:lncRNA from 1 species
UCUGGCUGGUCACUGGUGGGGAUGACAUAUAUUUGGAAUGGAACUCGAAAAGAUCUGUAUCCAGCCCUUCCAGCUUGCAGUUCAAUGAAUGAGUCCUCCAUUUACAAGCCAAAAAUGAUCAGUUGCUGUAUCUUGAGAUGAGUGAGGAUUCUGCAUAAUAAAAAUGCUCAGUUAUGCAAUUUCUGAACUUACAUUAUAAGCUCCUGUCCCAACUCCCAUUGACCGUAACCAGAGAACCCUCGAUAUCAUUAGAUACACAACAGAAACAUUAUUCUCCAGUACAGGAUGAUCGAGUGUAGGCUGUUUGUUACUAUCAACGCAGUCGAUUAUAUCCCUUUCCUGAGUCUUCAUUGCGGUCAGUUGUUUAAGAAUGUCAUUUCGCAAAACCGAAAUUGAGGAGAUGAUCAAGAAUUAC